rnacentral:rRNA from 1 species
AAGCUCGUAGUUGAAUUUCGGACCUGGCUGGGCGGUCGGCUUAUCGGCUUGUACUGUCUGGCUGGGCCUUACUUCUUGGUGAGCCGGUGUGCCCUUUAUUGUGUGCGCUGGUGAACCAGGACCUUUACCUUGAGAAAAUUAGAGUGUUCAAAGCAGGCCUAUGCCCGAAUACAUUAGCAUGGAAUAAUAAAAUAGGACGUGCGGUUCUAUUUUGUUGGUUUCUAGAGUCGCCGUAAUGAUUAAUAGGGAUAGUUGGG